UACGUAGGGUGCAAGCGUUAAUCGGAAUUACUGGGCGUAAAGCGUGCGCAGGCGGUUUUGUAAGUCUGUCGUGAAAUCCUCGGGCUCAACCUGAGAAUUGCGAUGGAGACUGCAAGGCUAGAAUCUGGCAGAGGGGGGUAGAAUUCCACGUGUAGCAGUGAAAUGCGUAGAGAUGUGGAGGAACACCGAUGGCGAAGGCAGCCCCCUGGGUCAAGAUUGGACGCUCAUGACACGAAAGCGUGGGGAGCAAACAGG
rnacentral:rRNA from 1 species